ACCUGGAUGUCAUUUAAGAGGAGGACAUGCAUUUCCAAAUGACUUAAAAAGGAGGAAAAGUUGGAUCAACGCCAUGGCCCAUACGCAGAUUGGACGAGAACACGAUGAUAUCGUGGAGUCCAUCUCAAUCAGCUGUUGUUUGCAAGGCACGUUUUACUGAAAAAGACUACGUGCAGGAAACUAUUCAUGGGCGCAAACCCACCAUACAGAGACUUAAGUCUACUGCAAUUCCCAGCCUAUUUUCCUAGACCAAGCAAGAGACUGAAUCGUCCGCAAAUAGAAAAAUCAGGGCAGUUUCCUGUGAAAACAAAAGAACUAAACUUGAUGAAUAUUGUAGUAGAAAUCUAGAGGAAAGUUUUGAUUGUAAAGUUGGUUUUCCUGAAGAAGUCAUUCAUACUGCAGAAAGGAUUUAUGACUGUCCACCACCAACUGCCGAGCUAAUGUUGAGCUUCACAGAUGGAAUUACGCAAACACCAUCAAUGCCUAUGUUUUCAGCAGAGAAUUUUGAAAUGAAGACACGUGACACAGCCAUGCAUUUUUAUACCGGUUUAGAGUUGUAUACUAAAUUUUUAUUUGUUUUGACCACACUUGGUCCAGCAGCACAUUGUUUGAGAUACAUAUAUUUUCAAAUUGAUAGGGUGUCAGUUGAAAAUCAGUUUUUUUAUGACUUUGAUGAAAUUGAGGCAUCAUACAACCAACUUUGAACUGUCUAGAUUCUAGAUUGAAUCUAGUGUUAAGAAUAUUGUGUAUACAUGGAUUGUUUUUAUGUCUAAACAGUGGUGUGAGGCUAACACUUGGCCAUCUAGUGGUUUAGUCAGGUAUUUUUCACCAUCCAACUUCAAAUUAAAGUUUCCUACGACUUGGAUUAUUAUUGACAGCACAGAUUAUCCCGUGAUAGAACCUAAAGCUCCUAGAGCUCAGGCAACCUUUUCAUCAAAUAAAAACAGAAACACUGAAAAUUCUUGAAUGUUUGACACCUGGUGGUUUAGUCAACUAUGUCUCUAUGUCACAUAGAGCGAAUUAUUGGACUUGGCAAAACAUACAAAAUUCUAAUAAAUCCUAUGAAUGGAACUGAAACAAAACUUUCAUCUGAAAUAACAUUUAGUUGUUUUAUGUUGUGUAAUUUUAGAACUUGUAUUGUGCCAAAGGAUGCAUAAAUAAAAGUGACGCAAUGAA